UACGAAGGUGGCAAGCGUUGUUCGGAUUUACUGGGCGUAAAGAGUGCGUAGGCGGUUUAACAAGUCAGGAGUGAAAGCCCAAGGCUCAACCUUGGAAUUGCUUUUGAAACUGUUUUACUUGAAUCUGGUAGAGGUUGGCGGAAUUCCGAGUGUAGAGGUGAAAUUCGCAGAUAUUCGGAGGAACACCAGUGGCGUAAGCGGCCAACUGGACCAGUAUUGACGCUGAGGCACGAAAGCGUGGGUAGCAAACAGG
rnacentral:rRNA from 1 species